UCAGUCAAGAAUUUAAUAAAUUGAAUUAAUUUAUAAACGAUUAAGUUUUUAUUUGCGUAUUUACGCCAACAGGCAAUCACGCGUGUGAACUAAGCUCAGAACAAUUAAUGUCUUAUUGAAGACGAAAAAAAACUCAAAUUUGAAUAGCAAAAGUAGUAUUAUGACUACGAGUCACCAAAGUCGAAGAAAAUCCUAAAAUUAUAUUGAUUCAUCAUUGAAUACUGUUAUUAUUUUAGACGCGGGAGCCGCGCUCUCACAACAUUUUUUAAAUUGUUAUUGCUAAAAACCAACUUUUCAUAUACGACUGAACUGCACGCCCAUCUCUGACUAAUUCGACUAGUCAAAGUCGUCGUCGAAGCUUAUAGAGAUAAGUUUAUAGUCAAAAUGUAAUGCUAACAUGUGUAGGCUAUAUUGCUUCUGUCUGCUGCGACGCAAUAUGGGUUCUGAUUUGAAAGGUGAGACACUCCAUAAACAAUAAUUGUUUUUUUAAGGGAUUUUGUAACCUGGUAACUAAGACCUUUAGGUCAAGUCUUAUUUUUAUUUUAAUGCAAAAAAAUUUAAUGAUGGUGAUGAAUGAAAAAUUAUAUUAUGAAAUGCUUCGAUCAAUAAUACUACUAGAUUCGCGAUUAGCGCUUCAAAAGCGGCCCGAAAAAUAAGACCACAAAUAAAUUUGUGGUCUUAUUUCAAAUUAGUAUGGUCCAAUCAUAGCCAACACUAAGACGUCAAAACGCUGCAAUGCGCGUUCAAAAACUGAGUAAAAAACCACCGUAACACCAAGGUUUUGGAAGGAAUAUCUUUUUUUGAUUUCCUAGUAGCCCCUUGUCGCUGUGCACAAUGGAUAUGUAUUGUCGCGAAAGAAAGAGGAGAAGAAAUAUAGAACUCUUUUAAAAAUUCUAGAAUUGUUCAAUGGUGGUGGCAAAUCAAUGCAAAAAAGUAUUAAAAAAACUUUAUAUGUAUGUGUAAAUAUUUUAAGCGUAUAUGCUGAAAAGGAUUUGUUUUCUGGGGGAAACGAACACAGCCAUAAAAUAAGCCUAAAUUAAACUGAUUAUAGAAAAAUUCAUUGAUUUAUAUUUGUAAAAAAGAAACCGCUCAUAUAAAAAUGACUUCUAAAAGACAGCUUUAUAACAAACUGAAUCUGUUUAAAGGUAAUUAAACCUACAUUAUUGUUUUAAUUACUUCUGUAUAAAGAAUACGUGGAAAACAUGUUUCGUGUUUCCUUUCAUAUUUUUUUUACUUUAUUCAAUUUUAUUUUUUAUCACCUAUUUGUUGUAAUAGCGGCAAUGUAAAAUAUUAUCUACAACUUUUUUGAAUCGGUCAAAAAUAGUUGCGACCAUACAAAACAAACCUAAAACAAAUAUGUAUAUUCUGCAACUCUAUGUCUUUCAAUACUUACUGUGUUCUGAGCAUUGAAAUGUAAUACCAAGAACUACAUCUUGUUCCACAAUACAAUAAGCACGAAAUUUUAAACAAAUAUUUUUAACCUUAUAAAUUAGGCUUUAAGUAUCAUUUUAGAAUAAAUAUUUUUGUACUGAUGACUUUUUAUGUUCAAGUGACAUUUUAAAUUUAUUCCAUAAUAUUCUUUUUCUGACGAAAGGACCUAAAUACAUAUAUUUUGCAAUGGUAAUUAAACUUUAUGUUUAAGUAUUAAGGUUUAUAAUAAACUGAAGUCGUUAACAUUAUUAAA